GGUGAUUGAUGUUACCUGUUGUGACUACAAGGGUUGGACUCGUGGAGUCUGGUACACUUUGAGGAUUGUUCAAAGUGGGUUGCAAAUUGCAGGAGAGGGGAUAUCUUACUCCAAGUUUUGUUGUGUGGUUUGCCUAUAUUUUGGUUAGAGGGUUAGAGAGGUGUUUUCCUUUGAGUAUUAGCAUCAUUCUUGGUACUCAUCACCUUGCCAAGAUUUCCUUCGAGUAUUCACACCACUCCUGGUACUCAACUCCCCACCAAGAUUUCCUUUGAGUAUUCGAACCACCCCUAGUACUAGACUAUCGCGC
rnacentral:lncRNA from 1 species